GAUCAACCCAGUCUGUUGGCCGGUCGCUCGCCGUCAUUUCGCCUUCCGGUCGCCCCGCCGCCCCCUCCGGCCGUCCAGCGUCCGCGCUCGCUUCCUUCGCCUCUCGUCUCACCGCCGCUCCUGCGAUGUGGCUAAACAUUGUACAACAUGCGGGUGCUACUUUAUCCCCGAAGCCGACCAACAUUGCGAAGAGUGUAUGUGGCAUCUGUAUUGGCUGUCGGUGGAUCCUCAUUCAGAGUACCACAAAUCACGAAUGCCACUAAGCUUGAGUGUUGAGUAGGCCGCUCUUUCCCAUCAAAUAUAAGUAGUUCUCAAUUUCAGACUAUUUCAGCCACAGGGGGGUUUGGUGUCCACUUUUUAGAGGUCAUGUAUGGUUUGAGAUGUAUUCGGUGUACACUGGGCGUGGCAAUGCCUUGGUUUGUACUGUAAGCAAAAUGCAUGUUGCCAGACUAAAUAUUUCGUGCUUCGGUAU